AGAAAGACUCCUCCAUGCUGGAAUCAAAGCUGCAGCCUACCUCCAAAAUAUGCACCUCCCUGGACUCCUCAUUGAUAAUAACUACAUCUGCAUACACAGACACACACACACACACACA